GUAGUCCUAGCCCUAAACGAUCAGGACUUGGGGUGCAUCCCGACGGGGUGCGUCCCGUAGCUAACGCGUUAAGUCCUGCGCCUGGGGAGUACGGUCGCAAGACUGAAACUCAAAGGAAUUGACGGGGGCCCGCACAAGCGGUGGAACAUGUGGUUCAAUUCGACGCAACGCGAAGAACCUUACCUGGGCUUGAACCGCUACUGACCAGUGGUGGAAACAUCGCCUUCUCGCAAGAGACAGUAGUAGAGGUGCUGCAUGGCUGUCGUCAGCUCGUGCCGUGAGGUGUUGGGUUAAGUCCCGCAACGAGCGCAACCCUUACUCUUAGUUGCCACCCGCAAGGGGGAACUCUAAGAGGACUGCUCCGGAUAACGGAGA
rnacentral:rRNA from 1 species